GGUCACGUAGCGGAGUGGUUACCGCGAUGCUCUUGUGAUGCAUAGGUCCUGGGUUCGACCCCCAGCGCGACCA